rnacentral:rRNA from 1 species
CAGCAGCCGCGGUAACACGAAGGGUGCAAGCGUUACUCGGAAUUACUGGGCGUAAAGCGUGCGUAGGUGGUGGUUUAAGUCCGUUGUGAAAGCCCUGGGCUCAACCUGGGAAUUGCAGUGGAUACUGGGUCACUAGAGUGUGGUAGAGGAUAGUGGAAUUUCCGGUGUAGCAGUGAAAUGCGUAGAGAUCGGAAGGAACAUCUGUGGCGAAGGCGACUAUCUGGGCCAACACUGACACUGAGGCACGAAAGCGUGGGGAGCAAACAGGAUUAGAUACCCGAGUAGUCCCUGUCUCUUAUAA